AUGAACGCCAUGUUGAGCGCGCCGUUUUCUGAGGAGGAAGUGUCCAACGCCCUGUUUCAAAUCGGCCCGCUGAAAGCUCCGGACACGGAUGGUUUCCCGGCAAGGUUCUAUCAACGGAAUUGGGCCACUCUAAAUUCUGAAAUCACUGCAGCAGUGUUGGAGUUUUUUGUCUCUGGUUCCAUGCCAGAAGGGGUUAAUGAUACAGUGAUCGUCCUCAUUCCGAAAGUCCCUCAUCCCAAGGAGCUAAAGGAUUUCAGGCCGAUCAGCUUAUGCAAUGUAAUAUACAAACUGGUUUCUAAAUGUUUGGUUAAUCGUCUCCGUCCCUUGCUGUCAGAGCUGAUUUCUGAGAACCAAAGUGCUUUUAUUCCAGGCCGGCUCAUCUCGGAUAAUUCUAUUAUUGCUUUCGAGUGCAUCCAUCACAUACAAUCUCUGAAGAGCAACAGUCGGGCAGCUUGCGCGUACAAACUCGAUCUCUCAAAGGCGUAUGAUCGGGUCGACUGGGACUUUCUGGAGAAGGCCCUUAGCAGAUGGGGGUUUUCUAAUCAGUGGGUUGCCUGGAUAAUGACGUGUUAA
rnacentral:rRNA from 1 species